GUCAAAUUCAUUUCCAUAUUUUGCCAAAAUUUCAAAACCAACCCCCACAGACGAAACCCUCCUUAGUUCAAUCGAAGGGUCAUCGCCACACACCUCACCAUCUCCGGCCACCACCGAAGCUCGCAAGCAGACCCCAAAUGUUUGAAUCGACUGUGGUACCCAGCGAAACACAACGGUGGUCUGUAAAGGACAUCAUUUCCCCAAGUCAUCGCCGUGUUAUCACUUUCGGCACCACGCUCGUCUGUAAAUCUAUUUUCAUUUCUUUGUUGUACUCCGGUUGAGAGGGAGGCUGCCAACAGUGAUGUAAUUUUUCUCAGCAGCCCACAGUGGGUAACCCAUCUGUUUGUUUGGUGUUGGUUUUAAUGAUUUUAUUAAAGGUUUUUUAUGGUUUUGCUGUUGUUUCACAAUUGCUUCCAAUUUGAAUCUCUAGUAUUUGAUAUUUGCUUGUUGUUGUUCGAUUCCGUUUGUUUUAAUUGUGUUGUGGUUGCAUUUGCAGUUUUCCUUUGCAGCUUCUGAUGCUUCAUUUUCUGUCUUUUUAGUUUAGAAAGGUCGGAAGGAACUGCGAUCUGUCAUAGAUGUAGGAGUAAGAUCCACUUCUUCAACGACUGCCCAAGGAACGCCCGUGCCUGUCAUGUAAGCGUGGAUUUGAGAAAUGUUUUAUGGUGGAGAAGGAGACUGUCAAUAAAGAUAAAUUAUUCGUUUCUUGCAGUAAGUGUAUAAUAAUUGUGGAUUUUGGGAUUGAGUUGUCGAAGAAAAAUCGGGUGCAUCUAGUAGUCUUAGUGCUACAUUUGUUUACCUUGUGACGAAUGAAAUAGUUGACGAAAUGCCCCGUAGUCUUGAAUCUCUAAUUCGGCUUACCAACCAAGAAGGGCUUGGAUUUCGAUGGACCUAACUAUCGAAACGGACAAAGUAAGCACGAUACAGAAUGCAAGAGAGAAGCGUCCAACUUGAUUAGUAGAUAUUGUUGAAACUACCGUAGCUAAUUUAAAAACUAUUGUGUGUAUGGAACUUGAAUUUUUCACCCUUUUGUUGUAAUCUAUAUGGUUAUAUUUAAUGCAGUGAUGAGUUCUCUAUUAUCUCUACUUAAGUAGCCAUUUUGCUUUUUAUUUUGUUGAUUAUCUGAUUCUCCCAAAUGUACAUCAUCAUACAUUUUUCCUUCCACUUGUU
rnacentral:lncRNA from 1 species